UGAGGAAUAUUGGACAAUGGGCGCAAGCCUGAUCCAGCCAUGCCGCGUGAGUGAUGAAGGCCCUAGGGUUGUAAAGCUCUUUUGUGCGGGAAGAUAAUGACGGUACCGCAAGAAUAAGCCCCGGCUAACUUCGUG
rnacentral:rRNA from 1 species